UGCCAAAGCUUCAUGUAGAGCCCUUCUCUCUUUUAUCACGAGUAAAAGUUCAGGUUUAAAAUAGAACAACGGAUGACUAAUGCCAUUUCCAGCUGUGACUGAAUUCUCCACUGCCUGAUGCUUUUCAAAUGUAUCUGAAUCAGAAUCGUAAGUGACAUGAUGGUACUGACCUCACAAUAGCAAUGGGCAUAAAAUGAUAAAGCAGCAAUAUUCCUGAGCUCUUGGUGGGUAAAUAGAGGGAAAAAUGAGUCUAUUUAAAAUUUUACAGGUUUUACAAUAAAAAUAUUGUGUUAUUUGUAUUUCUGCCCAAUACAGGAACACCCACUUUAUGCAUAGCUCCCUAAUCAGGAAGUUAUUCUUCCCAUCAAAGCAACUGGAAAGAAAAAAGAUAAAACAAUGAAGGGAGGAGAAAACACAAAAGUUCAAGAAGAGCAGAAUGUUCCGGCAAGGAGAAAAAGCUGGGAAAAGUCACCAAUGAAUGCCAGGGUUCACCACUAUCUUAGGAAUAUCAUGAAUAAAGCGUUAGAUUGGGUGUGCCCUAA
ensembl:lncRNA novel transcript, antisense to ABCA12